rnacentral:rRNA from 1 species
GAUGAACGCUGGCGGCGUGCCUAAUACAUGCCAGUCGAGCGAACGGACGAGAAGCUUGCUUCUCUGAUGUUAGCGGCGGACGGGUGAGUAACACGUGGAUAACCUACCUAUAAGACUGGGAUAACUUCGGGAAACCGGAGCUAAUACCGGAUAAUAUUUUGAACCGCAUGGUUCAAAAGUGAAAGACGGUCUUGCUGUCACUUAUAGAUGGAUCCGCGCUGCAUUAGCUAGUUGGUAAGGUAACGGCUUACCAAGGCAACGAUGCAUAGCCGACCUGAGAGGGUGAUCGGCCACACUGGAACUGAGACACGGUCCAGACUCCUACGGGAGGCAGCAGUAGGGAAUCUUCCGCAAUGGGCGAAAGCCUGACGGAGCAACGCCGCGUGAGUGAUGAAGGUCUUCGGAUCGUAAAACUCUGUUAUUAGGGAAGAACAAAUGUGUAAGUAACUAUGCACAUCUUGACGGUACCUAAUCAGAAAGCCACGGCUAACUACGUG